AGUUUUGUAGUUUAAGUAAAAUAUUAAAUUGCAAGUUUAGAGAUUUUUUUGUAAAGAAUAAAACUU
rnacentral:tRNA from 1 species